rnacentral:rRNA from 1 species
GACGAACGCUGGCGGCGUGCUUAACACAUGCGAGUCGAACGGAAAGGCCCUGCUUUUGUGGGGUGCUCGAGUGGCGAACGGGUGAGUAACACGUGAGUAACCUGCCCUUGACUUUGGGAUAACUUCAGGAAACUGGGGCUAAUACCGGAUAGGAGCUCCUGCUGCAUGGUGGGGGUUGGAAAGUUUCGGCGGUUGGGGAUGGACUCGCGGCUUAUCAGCUUGUUGGUGGGGUAGUGGCUUACCAAGGCUUUGACGGGUAGCCGGCCUGAGAGGGUGACCGGCGACACUGGGACUGGGAUACGGCCCGGACUCCUCCGGGGGGCAGCGGUGGGGAAUAUUGCCCAAUGGGCGGAGGCCUGAUGCAGCAACGCCGCGUGGGGAAGGACGGCCUUCGGGUUGUAAACCGCUUUCGCCUGUGACGAGGCGUAAGGAACGGUAAUGGGUAAAAAGGCACGGGCAAACUAGGU